UACGUAGGGGCCUAGCGUUGUCCGGAAUUAUUGGGCGUAAAGAGCUCGUAGGCGGUGUGUCGCGUCGGCCGUGAAAACCUGCAGCUUAACUGUGGGCUUGCGGUCGAUACGGGCAUCACUGGAGUUCGGCAGGGGAGACUGGAAUUCCUGGUGUAGCGGUGAAAUGCGCAGAUAUCAGGAGGAACACCGGUGGCGAAGGCGGGUCUCUGGGCCGAUACUGACGCUGAGGAGCGAAAGCGUGGGGAGCGAACAGG
rnacentral:rRNA from 1 species